rnacentral:lncRNA from 1 species
CAAUCUUGCAAAGGCCUCAGAGCAAACUCUGUACUUUACCACCCUUGUGAAAGGUGCAGAACAAACACAUGCAGUGCCCAAGCACAGUGGAGAAGCCAGGAGGUAGAGGUCUUGCUUAAGGUGGUCUCAGAUAUCCCCCCACGCUACAACCAUGAACUCCCAUGACCACCGUGAAAAGGGAGAAGCACAGCCAGUAUGACUUGCUCACGAUGUGUGAUACCAGACACUCUCCGCCUGGCAACAGCUCCUGGCCUAGUUGGAGGGGACCUGCCCAUGAUAUAAAAGGCAUUGCCAACUCAUUGCCAACUCCACAGCCAGCUGUGUUUGCCCCAUCACAUCCUCAGCCACCCCAGAAAGAGGAGGAGAACAGACCCUCAGGACAUCAAAGAAUCCACAGUGUUCUCUCCCUCAUUCUGCUGAGAGUGGAAGAGCGA